rnacentral:lncRNA from 1 species
AAGAAAGCAGCCAGAAAAUCUCAGGCAGAGAGCAGAGGGAGGAAAAAUAUGCAGAGGAACAAUGGAUUAUAGCAAAAAUGUGAACCCUUGUUAGAGAAGACACGUAUGACUCACUCUUCCACCGGGAAUUAAGCAGAGGAGAGCAUGGUGGCUGCCUGCUGACAAGAAAGAGACCGGCUGCGUCAUCUAAGCACAGAGCAG